AAGUCGAGCUUUGAGCCGAGAACACGUAGAAAGCACCCGGAUGGAAGAAUACCAUUACGGGCCUCUUUACUGGAUCAUUCGCCGACGGCAGCUACGUUCAGACGGAGGCAAUCCUCCAUUUUAUAUUCCGUGCGCGUAUUUCUGGGCAGGCCGGUCCUUCUUGAGUCGCGUCGAAGACCCCGCUCCAAUCUGCUGCUGGAGUUGCGACCUAAGGAAAGGUAAAAAUAAAAAGUAAUAAUCUUGAUGAGAUUCUUCUUUCAAAUCUUUAUUCGUACCAGUGCUGAAUUAUUCACGAAAUAAAUUUCAUAUAAUAUUGCAGUUAAUAUAGAUAUAAGAUCUGAUGUAUUUUCUUGCCAGGAAAAAUAAUGCAAAGUUAUAUAAGAACCGUAUCAAGAAUUACUUUCCUUGAUGACUGUCCUUAUAAAUUAAUUAAUGGACAUUACUGCAUUAAUUAGAAAGAUAAAUAAUUA